AGUGAACGCUGGCGGCAGGCCUAACACAUGCAAGUCGAGCGGCAGCGCGGGGGCAACCCUGGCGGCGAGCGGCGGACGGGUGAGGAAUUCGUCGGAAUCUGCCUUUUUGUGGGGAAUAACGUAGGGAAACUUACGCUAAUACCGCAUACGUCCUACGGGAGAAAGUGGGGGACCGCAAGGCCUCACGCAGAAAGAUGAGCCGACGACCGAUUAGCUAGUUGGUGGGGUAAAGGCCCACCAAGGCGACGAUCGGUAGCUGGUCUGAGAGGAUGAUCAGCCACACUGGGACUGAGACACGGCCCAGACUCCUACGGGAGGCAGCAGUGGGGAAUAUUGGACAAUGGGCGCAAGCCUGAUCCAGCCAUGCCGCGUGUGUGAAGAAGGCCUUCGGGUUGUAAAGCACUUUUGUCCGGAAAGAAAUCCCUGGAGCUAAUACCUUCGGGGGAUGACGGUACCGGAAGAAUAAGCACCGGCUAACUUCGUG
rnacentral:rRNA from 1 species